CUUUGAUAUGGUAAUGGUAUUAGUUUCAUGCAGACCAGUAUGUUCUAGUAUCAUAAUCAAGAGAAACAUUAAUACUUAUCCACAGCUUAAUAAUUACGCAUCAUUUUUAUUAUAUUUAGAAUGGGACAAGCACAGCGUUUAAAUCAAGUCUAAACACCACUUAUACAACUUAAACAGGAUGGCAGGGGUUGUGAGGUCUGCUUUAUUAGGUCACGCGUACGUCAUGUGAUAUAUCCCCAGAAUGGGAAACUGGUAACAAAUUCAUAGAGGCAAUUAUUAUUUCUGUAGCAAGUAAAGUAGAGGAGAUAAAACCAAAAUGUUAUAUUUUGCUUGUUGUUGUCUGGAAUACAAGGGAGUGGCUACUUAUUGUGUCUAUAGGUGCGCCUUAUCUCCGCCUCUGGGAAGACUGGGAACUUGAGAUGAAUCUAAAGGGUAUAUAACAAGUGAUAUCGAAAGGUCUUGGUGUGCUUGCUUGGGGGUCAGAAUCUAAUUCUAAGUGAGUCACCAUCUUUCCUUCCUUGCCAGAGACCCCCUGGACAGAAGUUGUAC